rnacentral:rRNA from 1 species
GACGAACGCUGGCGGCGUGCUUAACACAUGCAAGUCGAACGGAAAGGCCCUGCUUGCAGGGUACUCGAGUGGCGAACGGGUGAGUAACACGUGGGUGAUCUGCCCUGCACUUCGGGAUAAGCCUGGGAAACUGGGUCUAAUACCGGAUAGGAGCCAUUUUUAGUGUGAUGGUUGGAAAGUUUUUUCGGUGUAGGAUGAGCUCGCGGCCUAUCAGCUUGUUGGUGGGGUAAUGGCCUACCAAGGCGGCGACGGGUAGCCGGCCUGAGAGGGUGGACGGCCACAUUGGGACUGAGAUACGGCCCAGACUCCUACGGGAGGCAGCAGUGGGGAAUAUUGCACAAUGGGCGCAAGCCUGAUGCAGCGACGCCGCGUGGGGGAUGACGGCCUUCGGGUUGUAAACUCCUUUCGCUAGGGACGAAGCUUUUUGUGACGGUACCUAGAUAAGAAGCACCGGCGAACGACG